rnacentral:miRNA from 1 species
CUGGGGGACAGGGGGGGCCGAG